UGAACUAAGAAACUGAUGUUUCCUUCAGGCUGUAAAUCUGCUGAAUAUCAAAUUGUAUCAUAGCUUCAUGUCUUUAUUACUUUUCUCUUUUCUGUGUGGCCAGAGGUAUAAAUACAGCAUGUUUUCAAUGUGUGUUAAAACAGUGUAUGGCCCCUUUAAGAGAUCACCGCUCUCUGCUCGCGAGAUUUCCUGUUCGUGAUAAUCCGAUGUAGCAGCCGAGUGCCAUGUCGUUGUUUUGGCAUCGGGGAGAUUUAUUUUGAAGUGAUUGCUGUCUUUCUGGAAGCUCUGUCCUGAGACGCUCUCCAGUUACGUUGAGACAACCCAAUCUUCCACAAUGGACUACAAAUAGGAUGAACUGUUUCCAGUUUCAGCAAAACAGCAAGGAUUCAUUAAUAGAUGACUGCACCUUAGCACUCUUCACUAACACUGCCUGCCUCAUCUGGGCCACAGAGAAAACAAUGUUACUGCCUGUACAUGGCACAGUUAACGGUUCGGAGCAUUUAGCUGGAGUUCUGACUUUGAAAAACCUUUUUGCUUGGGUCGUUCUGCACUACUUUAGCACCCCAAAUGUACAUUUUCUACUUGGUUAUUUGCUUAAACAACACUGUGAUAAGACUAAUUAAUAUCUAUGGGUGUAAUAGUUCUCAUGAGAAUGAUCUACUGAUUGAUGCGAUAGAAGAGAAAAUUCUGCUGUGGUUUAAUUCAUACCCAAAUGCCUUAGUUUUCAUUGGUGGGGACUUUACUAUUGUACCUGAUAAUAAUCUUGAUAGACUGCCACCUAAACAGACUGCCUCUGCUAAUUCUAAAUUAAAUAUAUUAAUGGAUACAUUUGGUAGUUAUGAUAUUUGGAGGAAAACAUUUCCGACUACUAAAUCCUAUACUUGGCAACUCUUAUUCAGUCCCCUCUAUCUUCAGUUAUCUCUUCAAAACCUAGAGCCUCUUAUUGGAAACUUAACUCUUCUUUGCUUAAGCAUGAUCAAUUAAGGAAAAACAUUUUAUAUUUGAUUUAAUAUUACUGGAUCAAAGCACCUUUUAUUUAUUUAUAUAGCGCUUUAAACAAAAUACAUUGCGUCAAAGCAACUGAACAACAUUCAUGAGGAAAACUGUGUCAAUAAUGCAAAGUGACAGUUAAAGGCAGUUCAUCAUUGAAUUCAGUGAUGUCAUCUCUGUUCAGUUAAAUAGUGUAUGUGCAUUUAUUUGCAAUCAAGUCAACGAUAUCGCUGUAGAUGAAGUAAAAAGCACAAAAGGAAAAUAAAUACGUCUCAAUUGGGAAAUACUUGAACAUGAAAUAAGCAAGUGUGCUAGGAAUUUUUGCAGCCUUCUAUGCUAAAUGUAAAAGCAUUGAAGAGGAGACUGUCACUUCCAAAAUAAUGACUCCCUCAGGUAAAAUGCAGGUUGUUUUGUCAAAAGCUGAAUUGGCAGAAUUUAUUGAUCUGCAAACUCGGUUAGAUUUAGUGUAUAAGAAUAAGGCAGAGGACACUUUCAUUAGCUCUAGAAAAAGGUGGUCACACAAACACACAGGUGUAGUCAUCCCAUGAGACUUUGCCAUUGUGAUGGAUGCCAUUCCCAGUGGAACUAUUGCACUUUUGAAAAACUCAGGUGAUUCUUAACUCUCUUCUACAUCCUGGAUACAUCCUUGUGAGACAGCAAUAGUUAAGAUCUGUUUUUUAUCUAUAGAUAUACUAUAGUCCCUCUCGAAUAGAAAGAUUAGACAACAUUUUCAGAAAGAUAUUACUGUACCUUAAUGUCCUAUUGGAGUAAAUGUUUUAAUGAUAUUCCUUGGAAAAAAAAUGUGUUCUCGAUCCAACAAAUAUCUAAUCACUAAUAAGGUUAAAGAGGUAUCAUUCGCUACAUCAAUUUUACCCAGUCAAUCUUUUUAUCCCCCCAAAAAAAAAAAAAAUGUUUCCCGAGUUGGAUCCCCUAUAGCUCCUUCUGUGGAGUGGAAGAGGAAUCCAUAACUCUUUUUUUGGAUUGUGUUUAUUUGUAUGUGCUUCUUAAUAAAUACAUUUUUCUUUAGGGUUUAAAGAUGUCUUAUUUGGUUUUUAUAACUCUGACAAAAAUCUAAAAAACAAGUAUUUUUUUUUCAAAGCUUUAAAGUCAGUUACAAUGUGCACAAAGUAUAAUAUUUAUGCUUUUUUUAUAAUGAAAACAAAAGGGACUCGAGGCAUUUUUAUCUCUCUUGAAUUUAUAUUAAAUUAUGUUACCCCUGGCUCAAUUAUUAUUAUUUUUUAAUGUUUUUUUCAUUACUUUAUUUUUUAUUAUUUUGUUUUACUUUUGUCUAUUUUACUUGAUUUUUACUGUACUUGCUCUUUGUCUACGUUUAAUAAUUAUAUUGUUGUUUUUGUUUUGUUUGAAACUGUAUUUGCUGUUAUGUUUGUUCAAUAAUAACAAUAACAAUAAAGUGCAGUGUGGCCGCCCCUUUAUGUUUAAUUUGCCAGUUUACUCAAGGAUAAACAGCGCCAUCUGCUGAGAGGUAGUGAGCCACCCUCCUUUCCAGUCAUCGACCCCACAACAACCAAAAAAAAAGAGCGUUUUGUAGGCGUGUUCCACCGUCUAUGACUUCAAAGUGCCACUAAUCGAUCACGCGGUAGUUUGAAUUCACACGGAAGCGCUGCACACUUUUACUUUCGUUUAUUAAGAUUCGUCUUGCUUUUCGUUUAAUUGAGCUUAUUUUAUGUCAUAAAUGAUGAAAAUGAAUGUUUUGAGUAUGUUAUUUCUUUCGGUCGUGCUUACUGGUGUUCACAGUGUUGGUGCAGAUGUUGUGUCAGUGAAUGUGACGGAGGGAGAUUCAGUCACUCUACACACUCGUGUUAAAGCAGACCGAGAUGUAGAUAUAAAAUGGUAUUUUAAUGACACUCGAAUCGCACUAAUGACUGGAGAUCUCAGUAAGAUCUGUACAGAUGUUCAGUGUAAUGAAGGUAAUGAGAGAUUCAGAGACAGACUGAAGCUGGAUCAUCAGACUGGAUCUCUGACCAUCACAAACACCAGCACCACAGACUCAGGAAAUUAUACACUAGAGAUCAUCAGAACUGGCAGUGGGUCUGAAAAGACCUUCAUUGUUACUGUUCAUUGUGAGUCAUUUCAUGAAUGUUUAAAACCAGGUUAUAUGUGUUAAAUCACAUAAUUGUGUUUAUUGUUGCUGUGGCAUUUUUUUUUUUUUUUUUACCUGCAUCAUUGAACAGAACAGAAUGAUUUAAACUAAUAUUUUUUUAGUUGGUCAUUCAUUAGUUUUAUUAGAUGACAAUUUCUGAUCAUUUAAUGGCUGAUCAUCUUUUCUUAUCUGUUUAAAUGCAUCUAUCAUUUAUAAUUAUUAGUUCUCCUAGAAGUUUGUGUUUUGCAAGUACAGAAAAAAAAUUGAUAAAUGUUACUUUUUAGACAAAGUCAAUAAAGAGCGAUCAUGUGAAGUCAUUUUUCACUUAUCUUUCUUGUAUUAUGAUCAGCAUGAUCAGUUAUCUCAAUGUAGAGUUUUCUCUCCAGAAAGAUGCUUCAGCUUCUGUUGUUUUGUGUUUCAGUUGUUUCUGUUUCUGAUCGAGAUCAAAUGAAGACAACGUCAGAGAAGGAGGAAGAAUCUGGUUUGUCUUCAGCUGAUAAAGCAGGGAUUGGUGUUGGUGUUGUUCUGCUGAUUGCUGCUGCUGUUGGUGUGAUUUACUAUCGCAAGUGUCCUCAAGCAAGACAAUGUGG